UGGGGAAUCUUCCGCAAUGGGCGAAAGCCUGACGGAGCAACGCCGCGUGAGUGAUGAAGGUUUUCGGAUCGUAAAGCUCUGUUGCCAGGGAAGAACGUCGGUAGAGUAACUGCUACCGGAGUGACGGUACCUGAGAAGAAAGCCCCGGCUAACUACGUGCCAGCAGCCGCGGUAAUACGUAGGGGGCAAGCGUUGUCCGGAAUUAUUGGGCGUAAAGCGCGCGCAGGCGGCUGUUUAAGUCUGGUGUUUAAACCUUGGGCUCAACCUGGGGUCGCACUGGAAACUGGGCGGCUUGAGUACAGAAGAGGAAAGUGGAAUUCCACGUGUAGCGGUGAAAUGCGUAGAUAUGUGGAGGAACACCAGUGGCGAAGGCGACUUUCUGGGCUGUAACUGACGCUGAGGCGCGAAAGCGUGGGGGAGCAAACAGGAUUAGAUACCCUGGUAGUCCACGCCGUAAACGAUGAGUGCUAGGUGUUAGGGGUUUCGAUACCCUUGGUGCCGAAGUUAACACAGUAAG
rnacentral:rRNA from 1 species